GGAAAGCAAGGACAGACUGCUCGUGGAAAAUACCCAAUCCCUGAGGAGCUGUAUUGGUCAAAAGACCAAGUCAUUAACUCAUGGAAAAUUUGUUUUAGAGGGGGCACCCCCGUAGGAGCAUCAGAGAUGAUUUUGUUGACUUUCUUUCCAAGUGGAUGCUUCAGAACACAGUCACAGGCUAUGCUAGUGUGGGUUUCAAGCUCAUGAAAGAAAUGCAAUUGCUGGUGAAGACCUGUCUAGCCGCACAAAGGAGGAGCAAGAAAUUCAGGUUCUUCCAUCCCACUCAGCCUUGCCAUGGAGGAAAGACCAGCUCUUGG